rnacentral:rRNA from 1 species
GGUGUUAAUGUGUGCGCCAUCAUUUCGUCGGAUUUCCGCUGGCGUCUGGUCGCAAGAUCGGCGUCGCGUUUCCGACAAGUUUACCUUAAAUAAAUUAAAAUGCUCAAAAUAGGCGUCAGCCUGAAUAUCAUAUUAUGGAAUAAUGAAAUAGGACUUCGGUUCAUUUUGUUGGUUAUUGAAUCGUGGUAAUGAUUAAUAGGGAUAAUCUCGGGGGCAUUCGUAUUUCUGCGGGAGAGGUGAAAUUCUAUGAUCGCAGAAGGACGCCCUAAAGCGAAAGCAUUUGCCAAGAAUGUCUUCGUUAAUCAAGAACGAAAGUCAGAGGAUCGAAGGCGAUUAGAUACCGCCCUAGUUCUGACCGUAAACGAUACCAUCUAGCGAUCCGAUAGGGUCAUCUAACCUUGUCGGGGAGCUUCCCGGAAACGAAAGUCUUUCGGUUCCGGGGGUAGUAUGGUUGCAAAGCUGAAACUUAAAGAAAUUGACGGAAGGGCACCACCAGGAGUGGAGCUUGCGGCUUAAUUUGACUCAACACGGGAAAACUCACCCGGUCCGGACACCGUAAGGAUUGACAGACUGAAAGCUCUUUCUUGAUUCGGUGGUUGGUGGUGCAUGGCCGUUCUUAGUUGGUGGAGUAAUUUGUCUGGUUUAUUCCGAUAACGAGCGAGACUCUAGCCUGCUAAAUAGAACACGGAUAACUAAUUCCAUAGGUCCGUGAUGCUUCUUAGAGGAAUUAGCGG